rnacentral:hammerhead_ribozyme from 1 species
AUCCGGAACUGACGAGUCCCAAAUAGGACGAAACGCGCGUCCUGGAU